CAUUGUCAUAAGCACCUUUAAACUAGUGAAAUAGAAUUGUUUUCCCAAGGACCAGGUGAAUGCGUAAAAUAAGACCUGAGUUCCUUGGUUGUUUAAUGGGGAAGCUGAGGCAUUGGGCAAUAAGAACUCAAGUUCUUUGACCCCUUCUCCCAGCUCAUGCUUGGUUUCUGCACCUUAGGAUGAGAAGCUGGCCUGCUAUGACCCUUGAUGUCAGCCCAGAGCAGCCCCACAGAUCUCGCUCAGCCUUGGGGUUUCAGCAGUGCAGUGGAGCGACUCAUUGUGAGGGUCUUUGCACUGGCUGUUCCCUCUGCUAGAAACCUGUUCCUUCCAUCUUCACAUGCCAACCCUCUCAUCAUCCUGUUGCAGCCCAGGUGCCGUGUCCUCAAAGAAGUUGCCUGACGCUCUGGCGCGCCAUCCCUGAGUUCCAUCACCACCACCACCUUUCAGAAUCAGCGGAUUACUGACUUGUUUCCUUGGGAUGGUCGGUCCCAGUGAGGGCAGGGCUGUGUCUGUGUUGUUCCUUUUGUCCCAGUGUCCUGCCCAGUGCCUGGUGCCGAGGAGGCCGUGGAAACAAAGACCAGCAGGGGCUCUGCAGGUUGCAGGCCAGCAGAGGAGGGAGCCAUCCAUGCUGUGCAGCCCCCCGGGGCAGGGUCACAGGAGGCUCAUCUCAGACCUCCCCUCCCACCCACCGCCUGGGACUGGCUGGGGUGCCACCACUCUGCACACCUUCCCCAGGCACCAUCCUACUCUCCGCAAGGCACACCACGGCCUUUUCUGCCUCCAUCUAAGUCUCCAUCGACAUGUUCAGCGCAGUGUGUAGAACAAGAAAGACUCCAAAGUGCACCUCCACCUGUAAGGGAGGUCGUCAAGCAAGCCAAGGAUCACCUAGAGUAUGGCUGUCAGCCUCAGCCCUCCUGGCUUCUUGUCAGGGGCUGGCCUGGGUGCUGCACGGUGUUCAGCAGCAUCCCUGGCCUCUGCCCACUAGAUACCAAAGUACCUUCCACCCCAGUGUGACAACUUUCAAGCCCUCCAGACAUAGCAAAGUAUCCAGCUGAGAAACAAUCCAUUGGUUUACACAGUGGAAUUCUCUGCAGCCAUUAAGUAUGACAAAUAAUAGUACAGGUAAUUAUAACUGAUUGUUGUUGAGGGCCACUAUAUACCAGGCUCAGUUCUAAGCUUUGCACAUGGUAACUUCUGUAAUCCUCACAGCAACCCCAUUUCACAUAUGAGGAAACUGAGGCACAGGGAGUUUGAUUAACUUGUCUAAGGUCACAUAGCCUGAAGAUGCUCUUGACAUUGUUAUGGGAAAAAGAGCAAGAAAACAGUACGUGUAUUAUAAUUUCUUUCUUUGUGUGUUAAGAAGCAGGUAUGCUAUCUGCCUCCACCCGCCCCCCCCAUGUGCAUGCACACAUAUAUGUAUCACAAAAUAUAUGUGUUAU